rnacentral:rRNA from 1 species
GAUCAUGGCUCAGAUUGAACGCUGGCGGCAGGCUUAACACAUGCAAGUCGAACGGUAACAUAAAGAAGCUUGCUUCUUUGAUGACGAGUGGCGGACGGGUGAGUAAUGCUUGGGAAUCUAGCUUAUGGAGGGGAUAACUACGGGAAACUGUAGCUAAUACCGCGUAGUAUCGGAAGAUGAAGUGUGGGACCUUCGGGCCACAUGCCAUAGGAUGAGCCCAAGUGGGAUUAGGUAGUUGGUAG